CCUACGGGCGGCAGCAGUGGGGAAUAUUGGACAAUGGGCGAAAGCCUGAUCCAGCCAUGCCGCGUGUGUGAAGAAGGCCUUCGGGUUGUAAAGCACUUUCAGUGGGGAAGAAAGCCUUGGGGCUAAUACCCUCGAGGAAGGACAUCACCCACAGAAGAAGCACCGGCUAACUCCGUGCCAGCAGCCGCGGUAAUACGGAGGGUGCGAGCGUUAAUCGGAAUUACUGGGCGUAAAGCGCGCGUAGGCGGUCUGAUAAGCCGGUUGUGAAAGCCCCGGGCUCAACCUGGGAACGGCAUCCGGAACUGUCAGGCUAGAGUGCAGGAGAGGAAGGUAGAAUUCCCGGUGUAGCGGUGAAAUGCGUAGAGAUCGGGAGGAAUACCAGUGGCGAAGGCGGCCUUCUGGACUGACACUGACGCUGAGAUGCGAAAGCGUGGGUAGCAAACAGGAUUAGAUACCCGUGUAGUC
rnacentral:rRNA from 1 species